rnacentral:rRNA from 1 species
CUGUGAGCUCGAUGAGUAGGGCGGGACACGUGGUAUCCUGUCUGAAUAUGGGGGGACCAUCCUCCAAGGCUAAAUACUCCUGACUGACCGAUAGUGAACCAGUACCGUGAGGGAAAGGCGAAAAGAACCCCGGCGAGGGGAGUGAAAAAGAACCUGAAACCGUGUACGUACAAGCAGUGGGAGCCUCUUUUAUGGGGUGACUGCGUACCUUUUGUAUAAUGGGUCAGCGACUUAUAUUCUGUAGCAAGGUUAACCGAAUAGGGGAGCCGAAGGGAAACCGAGUCUUAACUGGGCGUUAAGUUGCAGGGUAUAGACCCGAAACCCGGUGAUCUAGCCAUGGGCAGGUUGAAGGUUGGGUAACACUAACUGGAGGACCGAACCGACUAAUGUUGAAAAAUUAGCGGAUGACUUGUGGCUGGGGGUGAAAGGCCAAUCAAACCGGGAGAUAGCUGGUUCUCCCCGAAAGCUAUUUAGGUAGCGCCUCGUGAAUUCAUCUCCGGGGGUAGAGCACUGUUUCGGCAAGGGGGUCAUCCCGACUUACCAACCCGAUGCAAACUGCGAAUACCGGAGAAUGUUAUCACGGGAGACACACGGCGGGUGCUAACGUCCGUCGUGAAGAGGGAAACAACCCAGACCGCCAGCUAAGGUCCCAAAGUCAUGGUUAAGUGGGAAACGAUGUGGGAAGGCCCAGACAGCCAGGAUGUUGGCUUAGAAGCAGCCAUCAUUUAAAGAAAGCGUAAUAGCUCACUGGUCGAGUCGGCCUGCGCGGAAGAUGUAACGGGGCUAAACCAUGCACCGAAGCUGCGGCAGCGACGCUUAUGCGUUGUUGGGUAGGGGAGCGUUCUGUAAGCCUGCGAAGGUGUGCUGUGAGGCAUGCUGGAGGUAUCAGAAGUGCGAAUGCUGACAUAAGUAACGAUAAAGCGGGUGAAAAGCCCGCUCGCCGGAAGACCAAGGGUUCCUGUCCAACGUUAAUCGGGGCAGGGUGAGUCGACCCCUAAGGCGAGGCCGAAAGGCGUAGUCGAUGGGAAACAGGUUAAUAUUCCUGUACUUGGUGUUACUGCGAAGGGGGGACGGAGAAGGCUAUGUUGGCCGGGCGACGGUUGUCCCGGUUUAAGCGUGUAGGCUGGUUUUCCAGGCAAAUCCGGAAAAUCAAGGCUGAGGCGUGAUGACGAGGCACUACGGUGCUGAAGCAACAAAUGCCCUGCUUCCAGGAAAAGCCUCUAAGCAUCAGGUAACAUCAAAUCGUACCCCAAACCGACACAGGUGGUCAGGUAGAGAAUACCAAGGCGCUUGAGAGAACUCGGGUGAAGGAACUAGGCAAAAUGGUGCCGUAACUUCGGGAGAAGGCACGCUGAUAUGUAGGUGAAGUCCCUCGCGGAUGGAGCUGAAAUCAGUCGAAGAUACCAGCUGGCUGCAACUGUUUAUUAAAAACACAGCACUGUGCAAACACGAAAGUGGACGUAUACGGUGUGACGCCUGCCCGGUGCCGGAAGGUUAAUUGAUGGGGUUAGCGCAAGCGAAGCUCUUGAUCGAAGCCCCGGUAAACGGCGGCCGUAACUAUAACGGUCCUAAGGUAGCGAAAUUCCUUGUCGGGUAAGUUCCGACCUGCACGAAUGGCGUAAUGAUGGCCAGGCUGUCUCCACCCGAGACUCAGUGAAAUUGAACUCGCUGUGAAGAUGCAGUGUACCCGCGGCAAGACGGAAAGACCCCGUGAACCUUUACUAUAGCUUGACACUGAACAUUGAGCCUUGAUGUGUAGGAUAGGUGGGAGGCUUUGAAGUGUGGACGCCAGUCUGCAUGGAGCCGACCUUGAAAUACCACCCUUUAAUGUUUGAUGUUCUAACGUUGACCCGUAAUCCGGGUUGCGGACAGUGUCUGGUGGGUAGUUUGACUGGGGCGGUCUCCUCCUAAAGAGUAACGGAGGAGCACGAAGGUUGGCUAAUCCUGGUCGGACAUCAGGAGGUUAGUGCAAUGGCAUAAGCCAGCUUGACUGCGAGCGUGACGGCGCGAGCAGGUGCGAAAGCAGGUCAUAGUGAUCCGGUGGUUCUGAAUGGAAGGGCCAUCGCUCAACGGAUAAAAGGUACUCCGGGGAUAACAGGCUGAUACCGCCCAAGAGUUCAUAUCGACGGCGGUGUUUGGCACCUCGAUGUCGGCUCAUCACAUCCUGGGGCUGAAGUAGGUCCCAAGGGUAUGGCUGUUCGCCAUUUAAAGUGGUACGCGAGCUGGGUUUAGAACGUCGUGAGACAGUUCGGUCCCUAUCUGCCGUGGGCGCUGGAGAACUGAGGGGGGCUGCUCCUAGUACGAGAGGACCGGAGUGGACGCAUCACUGGUGUUCGGGUUGUCAUGCCAAUGGCACUGCCCGGUAGCUAAAUGCGGAAGAGAUAAGUGCUGAAAGCAUCUAAGCACGAAACUUGCCCCGAGAUGAGUUCUCCCUGACUCCUUGAGAGUCCUGAAGGAACGUUGAAGACGACGACGUUGAUAGGCCGGGUGUGUAAGCGCAGCGAUGCGUUGAGCUAACCGGUACUAAUGAACCGUGAGGCUUAACCUUACAACGCCGAAGCUGUU